rnacentral:rRNA from 1 species
UGAGGAAUAUUGGUCAAUGGACGGAAGUCUGAACCAGCCAAGUAGCGUGCAGGAUGACGGCCCUAUGGGUUGUAAACUGCUUUUGUAUGGGGAUAAAGUUAGGGACGUGUCCCUAUUUGCAGGUACCAUACGAAUAAGGACCGGCUAAUUCCGUGCCAGCAGCCGCGGUAAUACGGAAGGUCCAGGCGUUAUCCGGAUUUAUUGGGUUUAAAGGGAGCGUAGGCUGGAGAUUAAGUGUGUUGUGAAAUGUAGACGCUCAGCGUCUGAAUUGCAGCGCAUACUGGUUUCCUUGAGUACGCACAACGUUGGCGGAAUUCGUCGUGUAGCGGUGAAAUGCUUAGAUAUGACGAAGAACUCCGAUUGCGAAGGCAGCUGACGGGAGCGCAACUGACGCUUAAGCUCGAAGGUGCGGGCAUCAAACAGGAUUAGAUACCCUGGUAGUCCGCACAGUAACGAUGGAUGCCCGCUGUUGGUACCUGGUAUCAGCGGCUAAGCGAAAGCAUUAAGCAUCCCACCUGGGGAGUACGCCGGCAACGGUG